rnacentral:sRNA from 1 species
GUCCAUAUUGCGGCGGACGAUAACCAGAAUGCCCCCAGGACGAUGGCCGCAGCUGGCCAGAAUCGCGAUGUCAUCAUCGCCAUGCCGGCGGC